GGGGAAUUUUCCGCAAUGGGCGAAAGCCUGACGGAGCAAUACCGCGUGAGGGAGGAAUGCCUUUGGGUUGUAAACCUCUUUUCUCAGGGAAGAAGAUCUGACGGUACCUGAGGAAUAAGUAUCGGCUAACUCCGUGCCAGCAGCCGCGGUAAUACGGGGGAUGCAAGCGUUAUCCGGAAUCAUUGGGCGUAAAGCGUCCGCAGGUGGUUUCCAAAGUCUGCUGUUAAAGACUGGAGCUCAACUCCGGAACGGCGGUGGAAACUUGGAAACUAGAGUUCGGUAGGGGUAGCAGGAAUUCCCAGUGUAGCGGUGAAAUGCGUAGAUAUUGGGAAGAACAUCGGUGGCGAAGGCGUGCUACUGGACCGUAACUGACACUCAGGGACGAAAGCUAGGGGAGCGAAAGGGAUUAGAUACCCCUGUAGUCCUAGCUGUAAACGAUGGAAACUAGGUGUGGCUUG
rnacentral:rRNA from 1 species